CCCGAACAUCAUAAGGCUCUGCAGAAUCGUACCUGGCCAUGUGGAGCUCGGUAAACACAACUGAUCAGUGGUUGCACAAUAGGUGCCGUACCCAGUUGACUAUAGCGCGACUCAGUAGAGUAAUAUAGAUACAUAUAUAUAAUGCAUACUCGACUCAUGGAAUCAUGUUCUAAACCUUUCGGAGUGACUUAAGGUCGUUUCACCUUCGAUUAGCAUUAUGGACAUCAUACAAUCAAUAUGAACUUCACUAGAACUCAAGGAUCAUACAUAUUUUCUUAGAAUAACUUUGUACGGAAAGAACAACAUGGACAACCUUAGUAGCUAGGAGUAGAUUCAUUAUGAAAUAGCGUAUCGUUUAUGUUCAUUUCAUUUUAGAUCGUGCCAAAAGAAAGAAGAAAGUGCCAUAACAUACCUUAUAUAUUCUUCCCAACCUCAAGCUAUGCAAUUUCACGGCUCCUUAGUCUACAAUAAGAGAAAUGACACUCUCGUUAUCGUUUAAGCGUCGUAACUAUUAGGUAUCGACCACAACAUAUUUUACAAUGAAACGGACAUCACCUCCCCUAUAUAUAUGACUUCACACUAGUCAAAACAAUCACAAAUAGCCCAACAUACCUCUAUCACUUCAUACACAACACAACAACCAUAAUAGUGUCAAACAAUCCGAAAAUGUUAUGGCGAACGACCAGCAAACAACCUUGCCAUUAUGCGGUGUUUCUUCACACCCUUCCUCCUCUCAACUCCAUAGAAACAGUAGCAAAAGAGACAACCGAAUACCAACACGAAACAGCCCAAAAACAGUCCCACGAGUUCAUCAACUCAAAAAUAAUUUUUCAGUUUACUUAAACACGUUUCGUCUUGUCUUUUCUUUCAAAUUAAGAAAUACAACCAAAAGUACAUCAUUAUACCUCUUAUACAAUAAACUAGCCAUGAAUUCAACUUAAAAAUAAGUUCACAACCAGCCAACCAUUACACAAGAACAAACAACAUACCAUUCUUACGAAACUAGCUAGGUCUAUUCUUUACGAUCGAGUUACAACUCGCAAACGCAUAGAUAUUGGAAGGAGAAGCAUAAACUUACCUUAUAUUGAGUAUAAACCACGAAACCUGGCCCUUCUUCAUCAAAAAUAAGUUCCUUAACACAGCUACAAGAAGGAGAAGGAGAAACUAGCAAGUUGUCCGGACUUUCCAGCACUAGAAUCGCGUCGUAACACCCGGAAUACCCUAGGGUUUGUCUAGAAUUUUUAGGGAGGAAUUGCAGGGGUUCAAUUAGGUUUUCUUGGUCUGAAAGAUAGGUGAAAUAACGGAGUUGAUAGUCCCUUAAAAGUCCCCUCUUUGCCAACUUUGGGGCUUUUAAUUUUGUGCUCACAUUUUGGCAAGUAGGUGAUGCACCUACUUGUCACCUACCAAUCUGCGCAGUCUCGCGAAAAUUUGAAUAUCUCUAUACUCCGAUACUGUAUUGACAAACGGUUUAAUACUUUAGAAACUACACUCAUAUAUUUUUAAUUUGGUAGGUAGAUAAUCCCCUAAUUUCAAGUAUAUUUUGAUAAAAACUAAGUUACAUUUGACCUAAUUUUCAGCACAAUUAUGAAUAGAACCUGUGAUGACCUUUUCCAACUUUUGUUCCAUAACUCGGUUGACUUUAAAACAUAACACCAAAUAUCAUACGACUAAAAUAAAUCAUAUUGUAAUCUUCUUAUAAUGUUAAUAACCCUAUUAUCACCCCAAAAGUACAUGGUAAAACAUUCCAACUUGUCGACUUUCGACGGAACUUAUUUUCUUCAAUCUGUUUAGCUUCUAAGCCUUCAAAUGCUCUUGCUAAUUGGUAUCAAUGAUCUUAAAUAUUUGUAACGUCCACAUUAACAUGAUGAACUAACUUUGUAAACUUUUCAAAGAUGAUUCCAUUUAUGAGCUUACAUUAAUUGACUUAUGACGUACUCUUACGUAUGAAAACAUGGAGUGUAACAAAAACAUAUAAGAAACAGAAGAUUAGACACCCAUAUCAUCAAAUGUUUUGGCAAAAGAAAUUUCCGGAAACCCUAGUUUAGACAAAGAUGAAAAAUCAUUCGAAAAUCAGAUGAUUCUUGUAAAUAAUCAAAAGGUUAUUGUAAAAACUCAUAUUAAAUAGGUCUAAACCAUCUCAGAUUUGUACAAAUCUAAGAAGUUUAGAAUGAAGAAAUUAGGGUUUCGAGAAGAACAAUCACAUAGAUGAAGAAGCAAGCUUAUAAAACCCUAGAUUCAUGACGAUAUAGGGAGAUCUUACUCGGAACCAAACCGGAACAGAUUGAAACAUGCUAUAAAGGGUCAGAGAUGCAAGCAGACUGACCCUGGUCCCUCAAGGACCUUAGAGAUGGCAAUACCAGCAUAAGAGAGGCCAUUAGAGGCCUGGUAAUGGUGGAGAAACACCAUGAAAGGCAGUAGAUGACCGACAAUGUGGGUAAAUUAGGGUUAGAGUUUGAGAGCUUUUGAGAGGAAAGGGAUUUUAGGGCGGCGGUUGGUGAGAAAAUGGGAGGGUUUGGGGGUCGUUUGGGACUAAAAAAAGGAAGGGGCCAAUUGUGGUCGUUGAUCUCUAUGAUCAACGGCCGAAAUUAAAUGAGAUUAUGGCCAGGUCAGGCAUUUAGUUUUGGGCUGGGUAGGUUUAGGUUGAGAUUGGGCUGGUUAUUGGGUCAAAAUUAAGGCCAGAAUUGAAAUAAAAUAAGGCCAGAUUUUAAAUAGCCACUUUUAAUAACUAAAUAAUUUAUAAAAAAUAAUAAAUGAGUACCAAAAAAUAUCUUUGGGUAAUAAAAUGAUUUUAUUUAACAUUUUAAAAAUAUAAAAGACCAUUUUAUGCAUAAAUAAUUUAAUUAUAAAUUAGUAAGGGCUAAUAUUGCAAAGAUGUGCAAUUUAGCUUAAAAAAUUUAAAUAUAAUUACAAAAAAUACACUAAAAAUAUUCAAGUACUAUGUUGGCAUAAAUAUUGAAUAUAAAUGGCUAAAUCACCACAAAAGUAAUUUGAAGGAUAAUUAUUGGUCAUUUAUAUAAUAAAAAGAGAAGAAAUAAAUUGAUUUGGAGCUUUUAAAAACUAUAGAGAAAAAUUAUAAAAAUACUUAUACAUGCUUAUAACUACAUAUGUGCUAUUUUAAAAGUAUAUAUAUGUGUUUAAAAUAUGUGAGAAAAAAUUGGGUAUCAACAGAUGAGGAAGGAGAAGAGUGAGGCAAAGGGCAUGGAGAGGGAUGAGAAGGAGAUGCAACAGGAGUGUGAGGCAAAAGAGGAGAGUUAGAGAUAGUACUAGAAGGAAUAACAUGAGUAGAGAAUGCGUAAGGGAAGGCUUCAGGAGUGGAAAAUGAAGAAGUCUCUGAGCCUGGCAUGGGAAUUGCAGGAAAUGUGUCAUCGGUUGGAGGAAUGACAGACUUAGGAGGUAAAAAUGUGAGUGUAAUUAGAAGGAGGAUAACACAGAAAAGUGGAUUUAGGAUGUUUAAAGGGAAACACAAUUCCUCUAAAAUAUACAUCCUUGCUGACAAAGAAGCCCGCAUAAGCGAAGGAGGAGCCGCAGAAGCAGCCAAGGAUGAGCUGGGCAUAAGUCGCAGGUGCAAAGAUGUUCUCGAGCAUGUGAGGAUCGCAGAAGCGGGCAGCUAGGCGCAGGUGCAAGAGGGAGCCGCAAGAGAUAUGGAUUCAUGCACCUGCUGUAGUCGCAGAUGCGGUCGUGCAGCCGCAGGAGUGGAGCUUGGGAUUUUAAGUGGAAACCGCACCUGCGAUGGUAUUUCCGCAGGUGUGGCGUCGCAGAUGCCUCCGAGGGCUCGUAGGUGCAAAAAGUAUGGUCAGAAGCUUAAAAGGCAAGGGUUUUCCAUUUUGGUUUUAUUUUCACAUUUGAGACUCGGACUUAGGCGAUUUUGAAGGAGAUUUUUAAGGGAUUAUUGAGGUAAGCUUCUUGAACUAGUUUAGGAUCAUAAAUAUUGUUUGCCCACUGAUUUCUCCACCUAAUUAGCAAGAUUUUGAAGUGAAAAUUGGGGAUUUAGGGUUUGAGAAUUGGAGAGUGAAUUUUGGGGAUUUGGGUGACCAAAUGAGGUCAGAUUUUGAUAAAUUUUGGUAUGGUUAGACUAAUGAGCGAAUGAGCUUACGGGUUUUGUGACUUUUGACGAAUUUUGAGACGUGGGCCCGAGGACCGGGUUUGAGUUGAUUUCAGAUUUUGAAUCUAAUUUGGUAGUUUUCUUGUUGAAUUGAUACCUUUAGCCUAUAUUGAUUGUAUUGUAUUACUUGUGGCUAGAUUUGAGACGUUUGAAGGUCGAUUUGAGAGGAAAUGGCAUUGCUGAGUAGGUAAGUAACUUUCCAAACUUGGUUCUGAGGAUUUGAAACCCAAAAUUUGUUCUAUGUGAUUGGUAUUAAGGUAACACACAUUCCAAAUGACGGGCGUGCGGGCGUGCGGGCGUGCACCGUGAGAAUUGUGACCUGGGUGAUACCAUGGCACCGUUUAGUAACUCUAUCCUGUUGAUAUCCAUGAUUUUAUCAUGUGAUAAAGUAAUUGAGCUGUAAAUCAUGCUAGAUAUCAUGUUUUGGCUUUAUGACGGUAUUGUUGGGAACCUUAGUGGUUGUUUUUUGCUCUCAUCUCACUAUUUUCAUUAAUAUUCCAUACUAAGUCAAGUUUAUGCAUUUUGAUAUCAUAUCUCAGUCUCAGUUAUUUAUUGAUUCAUCAAAUUAUUGUUUCGGGUUUGUUUUCAUGACAAUGUUAUCCUGGGGGUGAGACUGGAGAGAUUUAUGACUGAGUGAGGCCGAGAGCUUAAUUAUGAGUGACAAUUAUGGGAUUAGGUUGCACGCUGCAGCAGUUAUAUUAAUGAUUAUGAUAGCGCUUGGGCUGUAGGAUCCCCGCUAGAGUCUGUAACAUACCCCCAGUGAGCGCAGAUGAUAUUAUUGAGUGAUGGAUUUCCGUGGACAUGGAUCUUGUCCGGGGUACUUGAAACUUGGAGAUGGAUCUUCUCCACAGGGUCGGAUUGCCUUUUAAUCGAUACUAGGUGACUUAUAGCCAGUGUUGUAUAUGUUUCGGGAUGGAUCUUCCUUGGUUUAGAUGGCCAUAUGCAGUACCAAGUGGUCGAGCACUUGAGAGUGGGAGCACAUGGUGUAUUUCAUACAGUAUGUGCAUUGGCAUGUAGAGAUGGUUGAGUUAUAUACCUUACACUAUUUAGAUCUAUAUUUACUUUAUUUCUUUGAGUUGUCUAUUUAACUUGAAAGAAUGCAUACGUUUUUGCACAUUUAUUUCUAUUAUAUCGGUUGCGGUUGAGUUCUCACUAUCUUUCAGUCCAUAGUUUGGAAUUGUUACUUACUCAGUUGGUGUACUCACAUUACUCCCUGCACCUCGUGUGCAGAUCCAGGCGACUCUGUUCACGGCGGCGGCUGCUGAUUGAGGCCCUAGAGUUAGGAGACUAUCAAGGUAGCUGCACAGCAUUUGCAAGCCUUGACUCUUCUUCCUUUGUUAUCAGUUGUAUUUUCAGUUAUUCCUUUAGACAUUAUAGUAUAUUGUAUUCUAAAUAGACGUUCAUGUACUCAAUGACACCCUUGUUUUGGACUGGUGUGUAUUACACUUUGGGAGUUAUUAUGUUUUCAAACGAUAUCCGAAAUGUUAACUGCUUCCGUCGUGAUUUUUAAGUUAUUUUAUUGUGGUGGGUUGUUCAAUUGAGGCUGGCCUAUUUCCAUUAUAGGAACCAUCACGACGGUUGAUUUUGGGUCGUGACAAGUUGGUAUCAGGGCCUAGGUUACAUAGGUCCCACGAGCCAUGAGCGGGUUUAGUAGAGUUUGCGGGUAGGUACGGAGACGUCCGUACUUAUCUUCGAGAGGCUGCAGAACUCUUGGGAAUCUUCAUAUUCUUGAAUUUUUAUCGUGCGGAUCUGUUUGUACUGGUAACUAAACUUCUGUUAUGCUACUCUCUCACAGAUGGUGAGGAAACGUGCUACUGGGUAGGACGAACAACCACCAAUGCCACUAGUCGGGGCCGCGGGAGGCGGGUCGCGGUAGAGACCGUGGUAAGGCCAGAGGCGUAGCCCGCAUAGCAGCUAGAGGAGCACUGGCAGAUCCACUAGUCACCCCAAUUCAGGAUCAGGUCGGAAUUGUGGAUGCACCAGCGCAACCAGCUCAGGCAAACGAUGUGCCCAUCAUGAUGAUAGGCUUUCAGGAGGCCUUAGCUCAAAUUUUGACUGUGUUCACCAGUCUUGCUCAGGCGUUCUCUAUUUCUACUGAAGCAGCUACUUCCCAAGUCAGGGGAGGUUCUCAAACUCCCACCGCCCGCACACCAGAGCAGGUGGUGUAGGGACUCCAGACACCGGGGGCACCACCAGCCCAACCGGUUGUAGUUGCUCAGAAAUAUGUGGUUCCAGUCAUGGCUGAUGAUGAGCAGCGUAUAUUGGAGAGGUUUGGGAGGCUCCAGCCUAUGACUUUUAGCGGUGCAUAGGGCUAGGAUGCCUAGGGUUUCUUGGAUUAGUGUAAGAGGAUUCUCCGUACAAUAGGUAUUCUGGAGACUAGUGGGGUCUCAUUCACUACUUUUUAGUUUACUGGAGCUGCCUUUACCUGGUGGGAGGCGUAUUAGAGGCAUAGGUCGGUUGGUUCAUUGCCAUUUAUGUAACAGGAGUUCUCCGUUCCGUUCCUGGAGAAGUAUGUUCAACCGUCUCACAAAGAAGAGCUGCGUAAGCAGUUCGAGAGGUUGCGUCAAGAUGACAUGACCGUGACAUAGUACGAGAUGAGAUUUUCUGAGUUAGACCGUCAUGCUGUUUGGUUAUUUUCCACAGACAAGGAGAGGAUUAGGAGGUUCAUUGAUGGCCUCACAUUUUAGUUGCGGGUGCUUAUGACCAAAGAGAGAGUGUCUGGUGCUACUUUCGAUGAGGUUGUUGACAUUGCUUGGGUGAUAGAGUCGGUCCGCAGUCAGGAGAGGGUUGAGAGGGAGGCCAAAAGGUCUCGUGGAUCAGGUAGCUUUGGUGGUGUUCCUUCUGGAGGUCAAUUUCACCACGACAGAGGUCGUCCUUACAUGCUCAGACGGGCCGCACAAUUCACCGUGGUGUAUCAUCUGGCCAUGGUUCUCAAAGUUCUCAACAAGGCCACUCAUCUCUCAGCGCCCUUCUAGCUCAGAGUUUGUCUCAUGCACCAUUAGCUUAGGGUUUAUCUAUGUCGGGGCCUUCAAGUGGGUAUCCCAGUGCUCGAGGCCCCCUUCAGUCCCCACCGCCACUUGCCGGUAGAUGCUCCUUUAAGUGUAGAGAUUUGGGUCAUAUCAAGAGGUAUUGUACCCACCUUACGGGAGGUUCAUCUCAACAGAGGAGUCAGCCUUUGACUACAACACCAGUUACUUCACCGCCCGCCCAGCCAGCUCAAGGUAGAGCUCAGUCAUCUAGAGGUCACCCUAGAGGGGGAGGCCGAUCAGAUGGCGGUCAGACCCGUUUCUAUGCACUCCCUGCCAGACCAGAUGCCAUUGUUUCAGACACAGUGAUCACAGGUAUUAUCUUUGUAUGUCAUCGAGAUGCUUCUGUAUUAUUUUACCCUGGUUCCACCUAUUCAUAUGAGUCGUCAUAUUUUGCACAUUAUCUGGACAUGCCCUGUGAGUCUCUAGUUUUAUCUAUUCGUGUAUCACACAUGUAGGCGAUACUAUUAUUGUGGAUCAUGUAUACCGGUCGUGUGUAGUGACUAUUGGGGGAUUAAAGAAUAGAGUUGAUCUGCUGCUGCUUAGUAUGGUUGACUUUGAUGUCAUAUUGGGCAUGAAUUGGUUGUCUCCGUGUCAUGCUAUUUUGGACUGCCAUGCUAGGACGGUAAGGUUGGCUAUGCUGGGGUUGCCACGGAUUGUGUGGCAAGGUUCAUUGGAUUAUGUCCCCAGUAGAGUGAUUUCAUUUUUGAAGGCCCAGCGGAUGGUUGGGAAGGGUUGUCUUUUUUUUUGGCCUUUGUAAGGGAUUCUAGUUCAGAGACUCCUACUAUUGUUUCUAUCUUGGUGGUGCGAGAUUUUCCGAAUGUGUUUCCUGCAGACCUGCCGGGCAUGCCACCGGACAAGGAUAUUGACUUCGAUAUUUAUUUUGUGCAAGGCAAUCAACCCAUUUCUGUUCCACCAUAUCGUAUGGCACUCCUUGAUAAGGGAUUGAAGGAGCAAUUUCAGGAACUCCUUGAUAAGGGGUUUAUUCGACCUAGUGUGUCACAUUGGGGUGCACCGGUUCUAUUUGUGAAGAAGAAUGAUGGCACUAUGAGAAUGUGCAUUGAUUACAGGUAGUUCAACAAACUCACAAACAAGAAUAAGUAUCAUUUGCCUCGUAUUGAUGAUCUAUUUGACCAGCUUCAGGGAGCGAGGGUGUUCUCCAAGAUUGAUUUAAGGUUAGGUUAUCACCAAUUCAAUAUGAGGGACUCGAACAUUCUUAAAACAACUUUCAGGACCCAUUAUGGUCAUUAUAAGUUCCUUGUGAUGUCUUUUGGGAUGUUAAAUGACCCAGCAGCGUUCAUGCAUUUUAUGAACAACGUGUUUCGUCCUUAUUUCGAUUCAUUUGUUAUUGUGUUUAUUGAUGAUAUCCUGGUGUACUCUCGUAUCUAGGAGGAGCACGCCUAAAAUUUGAGUGUUGUAAUGCAGCAGAUGAGGGAGGAGAAACUUUAUGCCAAGUACUCCAAGUGUGAGUUUUGGCUCAGUUCAAUGGCGUUCUUGGGACACGUGGUGUCUAGUGAGGUUAUUCAGGUAGACCCGAAGAAGAUAGAGGCUAUUUAGAGUUUCUCCAGACCGUCUCAGCCACAAAGAUUUGGAGCUUUCUUGGUUUGGCUGGUUAUUACCAUCAGUUUGUUCAGGGUUUCUCGUCUAUUGCAUCGCCCUUGACCAAAUUGACCCAAAAGGGUGCUCCUUUUAGGUGGUCGGAUGAAUAUGAGGCGAGCUUUCAGAAGCUCAAGACUGCCUUGACCACAGCUCCAGUUCUAUUUCUACCAUCAGCUUUUGGUUCUUAUAUCGUAUAUUGUGAUGCAUCUCGGAUCGGCAUUGGGUGUGUUUUGAUGUAUGAGGGUAGAGUGAAUGCUUAUGUUUCGCGUUAGUUGAAGCCCUAUGAGAAGAACUAACCCUGUUCAUAAUUUGAAGUUGGCUGCCAUUGUUCACGCGUUGAAGAUUUGGAGGCACUAUAUCUUUGGUGUGUCUUGUGAGGUAUUUAGUGAUCAUCGUAGCUUCUAGCACUUGUUCAAGUAGAAGGAUCUAAAUUUGAGGUAGCAAAGACGGUUACAACCACUAAAGGACUAUGAUAUUACCAUUUUGUACCAUCCAAGAAAGGCCAAUGUGGUGGCUGAUGCCUUCAGUAGAAAGGCAGUGAGUAUGGGUAGUCUUGCAUUCCUUCCUAAUGGAGAGAGAUCCCUUGCAGUUGAUGUUCAGGCUUUGGCCAACCAGAUCGUGAGAUUGGAUAUUUCGGAGCCCAGUUGUGUCCUAGCUUGUGUGGUUUCCCGGUCUUCCAUAUUCAAUCGCAUCAGAGGGGGCCAUUAUGAUGAUCCUCAUUUGAUGUCCUUAAGGACAAGGUUCAACACGGUGAUGUCAGAGAUGUGACUAUUGGUGAUGAUAGGGUACUAAGGAAAUUUUGAUAUUGAGAUCUAAUUGGAUUUCCGAAAGUUGGAGUAUGUUCGUGGUGUCAUUUUUGACUUGUGUGCAAAAUUUGAGGUCAAUUGGACGUGGUUUGAUAGGUUUUGGUGUCGUUUGUUGAAUUUUGAAGUUUAGAACUUCUUUAGGCUUGAAUCCCGGUGUAAUUUGAUGUUUUGAUGUUUUUGUGAGUGAUUCAAAGGUUCAACUAAGUUCGUAUCGGGUUAUAGGACCUGUUGGUAUGUUUUGUAGUGGUUUAAAGGGCCUCAUCAUGAUUUCGGGUGGUUGACGACUUGAUUUGAGUUGAGGAAAUGCAACUGAAAUGUUGUUGGUACUGGUGUAACCGCACCUGUAGAGUGGGAACAACAGGUGCAGGCCCGCAGAAGUGAAGGAGGAGCGGCAUAAGCGGCCAAGGACGAGCUGGGCAGAAGUCGCAUGUGCGAAGAUGUUCCCUCACCUGCAAGAAAUGUAGAAGCGUGCAGCUGAGCACAGGUGCGAGAGGGGGGCGCAUAUGUGAUGGAUUUCCGCACCAGCGGUAGCCGCAGAUGCGGUCCUGAAGUCGUAGGACCGAAGCCUGGGAUUUUAAGUGCAAUCUGCACCUGCGAUGGUAUUUCCGCAGGUGCGGCGUCGCAUAUGCGUUCGAGGGCCCGCAGGUACGAAAAGUCUGGGCAGAAGCUUAAAAGGCAAGGGUUCGCAAUUUUGAUCUUAUUUCAACAUUUGAGACUCGGACUUAGGUGAUUUUGGAGGAGAUUUUUUAGGGGAUUAUUAAGGUAAGCUUCUUGAACUCGUUCUAAAUCAUAAAUCUUGUUUCCCCACUGAUUUCCCUAACUAAUAGCAAGAUUUCGAAAUGAAAAUUGGGGGUUUAGGGCUUGAGAAUUGGAGACUGGAUUUUGGGGAUUUGGAUGACCAAAUGAGGUUGGAUUUUAAUAAAUAUGGUAUGGUUAGACUCAUGAGCGAAUGGGCUUUCGGGUUUUGUGACUUUUGUCGAAUUACGAGACGUGGGCUCGGGGGCCGAGUUUGAGUCGAUUUUGGAUUUUGACUCUAAUUCGGUAGUUUUCUUGUGGAAUUGAUUCUUUUAGACUAUAUUGAUUGUAUUGUAUUACUUGUAGAUAGAUUCGAGACGUUUGGAGGCAUUUGAAAUGCAAGGGCAUUGCUGAGUAGGAUUUUGCUCGGUUCGAUGUAAGUAACGCUUCAAAGUUGGUUCUGAGGGUUUGAAUCCCAACAUUUGUGUUUUGUGAUUGGUAUUGAGGUGACUCACAUGCUAAGUGACGGGCAUGCGGGCAUGCACCGUGAGAAUUGUGACCUGGGUAAUUCCAUGGCACCAUUUAGUGACUCUAUCCUGUUGAUAUCCAUAUUUUCAUCAUGUGAUAAUGUAAUUGAGUUGUAAAUCAUGCUACAUAUAAUUUUUAGGCUUUAUGCCGACAUUGUUAGGACCCUUAGUGGACGUUUCUUGCAGUCAUCUCACUAUUUUCAUUAAUAUUCCGUGCUCUGUCAUGUUCCUGCAUUUUUAUGCCAUAUCUCAGUCUCAGUUAUUUAUUGGUUCAUCACAUCAUUGUUCCAGGUAUUUUUUCAUGACAUUGUGAGCCCGUGGGUGAGAUUGGAGAGAUUAAUGACAGAGUGAGGUCGAGAGCCUGGUUAUAAGUGACAGUUAUGGGAUCGUGUUGCACGCUGCAACGGUUAUACUGAUGAUUAUGAUAGUGUUUGGGCUUUAGGAGCCCUUCCGGAGUCCUAACACACCCCCGGUGAGCGCGGAUGAUAUUAUUAUGUGAUGAAUUUCCCUGGACAUGGAUCUUGUCCGACGUACUUGAUACUCGGAGAUGGAUCUUCUUUAUAGGGUUGGAUUGUCGUUUUCCUUGGUACUGGGACUUAUAGUUAGUGUUGUAUAUAUUCCGAGAUGGAUCUUCCCUGGGACAGAUGGCCAUAUACAGUACCGAGUGGUUGAUCACUUAAGAAUGGGAGCACAUGGUGCAUUACAUACAGUAUGUGCAUUAUCAUAUAGAGAUAGUUGAGUUAUAUACCUUACAUUAUUCGGAUCUAUAUUUACUUUAUUUCUUUGAGCUGCCUAUUUAAUUGAAAGUAUGCCUACGUUUCUACACAUUUUUUUAUUAUAUAUGUUGCGGUUGAGUUCGUCACAACCUUUCAGUCUAAAGUUUGGACUUGUUGGUUACUGAGUUGGUGUACUUACGUUAUCUUUGUAUCUCGUGUGCAGAUCCAUGCGACUAUGUUCAUGGCGGUGGCUUCUGAUUGAGGCCCAAGAGUUAAGAGACUAUCAAGGUAGUUGCACAACGUUCGCAGGCCUUGACUCUCUUCCUUUAUUAUCAGUUGUAUUUUUAGUUAUUCCUUUAUACGUUGUAGUGGAUUGUAUUCUGAAUAGACGCUCAUGUACUAUGUGACACCCCAGUUUUGGGCUGGUUUGUAUUACACUUUGGGAGUUAUUAUGUUUUCAAAAGGAUUUCUUAAAUGUUAACUGCUUCUAUCAUGUUUUUAAGUUAUUUUAUUAUGUUGGGUUGUAGAGUUGAGAUUGGCCUAGUUCCACAAGAGGCGCCAUUACCACGGUCGAUUUUGGGUCGUGACACAUGAUUUAUAGACUUGCCUCAUCCUCUUCUUCAAAAAUAUAGCACUAUACGAUCAACAAGUAUAAAUAGUAGCAAGAAUGUGAAGGUCGUAAAACAGAGUAGAGGAAUAAAAGAUACAAUUCACAAUAUGACACUAGUUUCAUCAAUUUCAAUCUCCUCCAUAGUUUUUCCAAUUCAUCGAGAAAAUCAAGAAUCUUCAAAUAAACUUAAUUGGUUGUGCAUUUGGAAUUACACAGCAGGUCCAACCCUACUAGAAACAUGUAAAACAGUCAUGCCAUGAUCAUAAUUAUAAGCUGCAAGAAAUAUUGGACCAUUGCUAGGGAAAAAAAAGAUGCAUUCAGUAAUGCAUAGUGUUAGAACAUAAACAAUAGCCUUCUUCCUUGAGUUUCCUCCUAGGCUGCCUAACAUAAAGAAGGAUAAAGGUAGGACAUAAUUUUAAAUAUUUAAUUAUUAUUCCUAAUUGAUUAGAGAACAAUCCACCUUAGUUGCAACAGAAAUAAUCAAGUUCUCCGUAUACGAAAUUUGUAAAGAGUAAUUUCUUUCUUUAUGCUAAGUUAAAACCUUUUUCUCAAAUCAAGUCCUGGUGAAUACAAUGAAAUUGCAAAUGACUAAGUGAUCUUUAACAAAAUCAGUAGAUCAAGUGAAUUAUAUAGUUUUGUUUUAAUGGUUUCCGAUAAUCCAGUAUGCGUCUCAAUCUAAAAUUAGAUUCUCAACCACCCUGUCAUUGAUAAUCGACUUCCAAUUAGGCAAAUUUAGCAGAACCUCAAACAAGAGAACCAGAGGCAGCAAAUAUAGACGUAAUCCUAGCCAGAAUCCUUCCAAGAUGAAAUAAGCUAAAAUAGCAAUGUUUUGUUUCCCCAUAACACUUCAUACAAGAUCUUUCCUUAAAGUAUGUCAUGUAAUAAGGAAGAUAAGAUACUACACUAAAUAUCAACAGCUCCGGUAUUUAAGACAAGUAUCUAUAAACUGAUUGACUUAUAGAAACUGGGCUUAUGGGUCAAGAAAAUAUAUACUAUGACCUGCUGCAUUUGGUACGACUUUCUCUUUGCAGAUCAAAGGUUUCAUUUCUUAUUGGUUAAUAUAUGGAUAUUUCUUUUUAUGUGUUUAAAUCCCUACUGUACAUUCAACAAUAAAGGUUUCUAUUAAAGCAGAGAAUUACCUCUUUUUCUCCAUCUCAUGUUUCAGUGUAUUAGCAAGAGUUUUCUCUCCACACUUGCGAUAUCCUGGGACAAAAGAAAGAGCCUUUACUUUAUGUAAAGCUCACACAUUCUAACAACGCAAGUAUAAUUGGUAGCACCCAAAUAUACAAGUGGAACUACCAACCUGCACUAGCAGCUUAUAAAAAAGUAGUGAUUGAAUGAUAAUUGGUAGUACAAGUAAGGCUUUAUGGAUGCACGACACACAGAUUUAUUCUUGAAAUCCCUUAAAUAUUGCAAAGAGUUUCUUCUUCUGGUGUUUUGUCACUUGUAAUUACUACAACACUCUGAUAAAAAAAAAUGCUUCAUCAUUUCAUUAGUGCUAGCUUUAUAAUACAAUUAGUUUUCUCUAAACAUGGAUUUACUUCUUGAACCUCAAUAUUCCUUAGUGAAAGACACUAAGAUUUAUCAAUAAAACUAAGGAACAAAAGGGUCACUAUAGUUUUAAUUUUAAAAAGGCAACUAAUCCUCUUAUGCUCCUAGUUGAAAUCACAGUAAUGAUUAGAUUUCACUUAAUUUUCUAAGAGAACAGAUAACACCUAAUCUCACAAAACAUUCAAUUCCUUGGAACCCAAAAUAUUUAUUGAAACAAGAAACAAACACAAUAUCUUCCUCAAGAUGAACAAUAGUAAUACUCACAUCACUAGAUGUAACUAUUUCCACUCUGAGUUUCCAUCACUAUUGAUUUUAAAAUCAGUACAAUUGAAUUGCAUUAAUUCAAUUUUCAAACAUAGAUGCUAAAAAUAUGAAUUUAGACAGAGCAGGAACUAACUUACAAUGAGAUGUGAGAAUCAAAGUAACAUAACCAAAGAGAGAUCCGCAAAGCCAGAAGUAGCCUAUUCUUUAGUAGUAUUACAACCCAAAAAAUAUAGCCAAAGUAGCUGCUAAAAACUACAUCUAUCCCAAUUCCAAAAAGCACAAAUAUACCAAAAAAUAAGUAAAUUAUAGUCACGAUCUGCUUGUGAAUCUACAAUCAAUAGAAAGGAACAUAAUUAAAAAAAGGUAAAAUAGAAAUACCAACCGUAUAAGAGAUGAGACCAUUGAUUAGACUGGAAUGGAGCUAUAAGUACUGAUGUGGAUGAACCACACUAUCUUUAUUUAGAACCUGUAAGAAAAUGGUUAAUUUGUUGCCCUAAUUUUUUCUUUGAAAAAUUUGUCGAUGCUGAUUAGGACAUGCUAACUAAAAACCUAAAUCGAAGCAUUCAAGGAAUUGAAACCCUAAAUUAGAAACAACUAAAACUAGAGAUGAAGGAGCUUACGAUUUCAAGCCAUAGCCCCAACACUGGAAGAUAAGGUUGUCGCUCAUUUGAACCUCUUAACACAAAGCACGAGUCCAAGGGUUGAACUAAUUGGGGAAGGUGAGAGCCAAAAUAAAAAUAAAAAAGGGCAGGUAUUCUUUAGGAGGCCACAAGUCAAAUAAUUUAUUGAGAAAAAUAAAUAUUUUACCAACAAGAAAAUAUUUUUGGCAACACUGACAAUUUAUU
rnacentral:lncRNA from 1 species